rnacentral:lncRNA from 1 species
GGCAAGGAAAUUCAAUUACCUUUAUGACAUUUGUAGGGUGUUUGAAUACAGUUUAUAUACAUGGUAUGUGUAUCAUAUUCUUAUAUCAUAUUCAUGUUAUGUGUAUAUACUUCUGUUUUGAAGAUAGCUGAAUUGUACACCCACAUAAGUUCCAAUAACUAAAUCGACACAUCCUGCUGUAUGUUCAUUGAUAGCUAAACAGAAGGAUUAGGCUAAAUAAAUUAAUUGAUCUGAUGAAUGUCAGUACCAAGUAAUUACUCUAUUUUACUAUCCUUUUGAAAAACUCAAUGUAUUACACAUAUAUCAUCACAUAUUCAGAUGCUUUGACAAUGCAAAGAAAUGAUGAAAAAUUAAUGUUGUCUUCACUGACCUUGACUAUCAUUUAAUGAUAUAUGUGGUAUCUAAUUAUAGCAAUUUAACCAAAGCCAGCUAAAUCCUCUUAUAAGUUUACAUAAGGAAGCAAAAGAAUUAAAUGAGGUAUGUUAAGCUCUUCAAUAUAAACUCCAUAUGUGGUAUCUAAUUAUAGCAAUUUAACCAAAGCCAGCUAAAUCCUCUUAUAAGUUUACAUAAGGAAGCAAAAGAAUUAAAUGAGGUAUGUUAAGCUCUUCAAUAUAAACUCCAUAUGUUUUCAAUCAAUCUGUCAACCAUGAACCCUAACUACCGAUAUUAAUGCAAAUAUUGAAACUUACAGUCUUUUACAAUGAGCAGAUGAAACAACCAAGCCAAAUAAGCAAAAUAAAAAAAUAUCAGAUCAAUAGACAAAUCAUUUAUCUUCCUCUGUAGUAAGCAAACACAGUUCCUCCAGCUCUAAAUAAAAGAUUUUGUGUUCUUAUGUUAUAGAAAAGUACAUUCAAGCAGCAAUACAGAGGAACCAAUUUCAACUACACAAUAUAUAAGAUGUCACUGUUAUGUGAUCAUUAAAAAGCUAAAAGCUAUUCUUAAUUCACAAUUCCUGACAACUUAUUUGCUCCUGAUGUCUAUCUCUAUGAUAUCAUGCUAUUAGUAUUUGGUAUAUACAAAAGAAAAGAACUCAAUUCCCCAUAGUCAUCCUUUUCUAUUCUGUUAAAUCUUUUUCAGGUUUAAUAUGUUUGUGAUGAUCCUAUUUUGGUAUAAUUGUGUGUCUAUGCUAUUUUGGUAUAUUACUUGGUUCUUCGAUACAGCUAUGCUACUUCUGCCAACUCUCCUUCAUCUGCAAGGGGUUUAUGUCGAAUCUAAAACUAAAGGGGAGGGAAAUCCUGAAACUAACAACAAUGACCAAGGUUCUAACCAUGUCAAAUAUAUAGCUAAAAAAUAAGAGAAAAUCCUGAAACAUAUAACAAUGACCAUAGCUCAAAACAUGUGCUCACACGCACACACACACACACACACACACACACACACACAUAUAUAUAUA